rnacentral:rRNA from 1 species
AGUGAACGCUGGCGGCAGGCCUAACACAUGCAAGUCGAACGCAUCACUUCGGUGGUGAGUGGCAGACGGGUGAGUAACACGUGGGAACGUACCCUUCGAUCUGGGAUAACUUCGGGAAACUGGAGCUAAUACCGGAUACGCCCUUAUGGGGAAAGGUUUACUGUCGAAGGAUCGGCCCGCGUCUGAUUAGCUAGUUGGUGGGGUAACGGCCUACCAAGGCGACGAUCAGUAGCGGGGCUGAGAGGAUGAUCAGACACACUGGGGCUGAGAAGCGGCCCAGACUCCUACGGGAGGCGGCAAUGGGGAAUAUAGGACAAUGGGCGCAAGCCUGAUCCAGCCCUGCCGCGAGAGUGAUGAAGGCCUUAGGGUUGUAAAGCUCUUUUGUCCGGGACGGUAAUGACGGUACCGAAAGAAUAAGCCCCGGCUAACUUCGUG